AGCUCCAUGCUUUUGAGACACAACAAACCUUUUGUGCCACUGUGAGUGAGUUUCAACCUCUGCAUGGUCCAGUUAUUACUUCAUUCAACCAGGAGCACAGCAACAUUGUUUUUACAUUUGGUUUUUACACAUUUGAUGAAAAUUAUACUUUACUUUGUGCUUUCCAGUCAGUUUCAAAUCACUCAAGAUUUCCACUGAAGGUUUGUUUCACCCAUAGAGAACUUUCAUUCAGGAGGAAAAGUUUUGUUUGGAGUCCUUGAAAGACAGCAGGUCUCAGACUGAAACUAAACUUGAAACUGAUGUUUUGUGUUUUCUUUUAUUCGAGUAUACCUGAUGAAGAGAGCUGUCUGUUAUCUAUUUACACCCAGGACCUAAAUGUGAAACGACCCUUGUUAACCCCACCGCUGACUGACAGUGCAAUCUUACAGCUAACCUCUGUACUGUAAUCAGUCCAUGUGUGUUGUUUGAAGCUGUGGUAUGUAUGAGUCAGAUUUGACUACUUUAUGUCACGUGUUUGCCUGUCUGCUGUUCAAGUAUUAAUUAAUUGUGUAAAAUUUUUGUUCAUGUGUUUUCUUUUUAGGUUCUGUUUACUGUUACAGGAUGUAUAUAAUGAACAUGUGCAGUGCACAAAAAUAAACAGUAAACAGAGUGAAACAUCA